rnacentral:rRNA from 1 species
UACGUAGGGUGCAAGCGUUGUCCGGAAUUACUGGGCGUAAAGAGCUCGUAGGCGGUCUGUCGCGUCGGAUGUGAAAACCCAGGGCUCAACCCUGGGCCUGCAUUCGAUACGGGCAGACUAGAGUUCGGUAGGGGAGACUGGAAUUCCUGGUGUAGCGGUGAAAUGCGCAGAUAUCAGGAGGAACACCGGUGGCGAAGGCGGGUCUCUGGGCCGAAACUGACGCUGAGGAGCGAAAGCGUGGGGAGCAAACAGG